rnacentral:tRNA from 1 species
CAAAAAAUAGUUUAUUAAAAAUAUUAAUUUUGGAGAUUAAUGAUAAAGAUAAUUCUUUUUUUUUGA